GACGAACGCUGGUGGCGUGCUUAACACAUGCAAGUCGAACGGAGUGGCGAACGGGUGAGUAACACGUGGGUGCUCUGCCUUGCACUUCGGGAUAAGCUUGGGAAACUGGGUCUAAUACCGGAUAGUGCAAGAUGAGCUCGGGGCCGAUGAGCUUGUUGGUGGGGUAAUGGCCUACCAAGGCGUCGAAGGGUAGCCGGCCUGAGAGGGUGUACGGCCACAUUGUGACUGAGAUACGGCCCAGACGGCUACGGGAGGCAACAGUGGGGAAGAGUGCAAAAUGGGCGGAAGGCUGAGGCAGCGACGCCGCGUGGGGGAUGAAGGCCUUCGGGGUGGAAACUCCUUUCGACAGGGACGCGGUACCUGUAUAAGAAGCACCGGCUAACUACGUGCCAGCAGCCGCGGUAAUAC
rnacentral:rRNA from 1 species